rnacentral:misc_RNA from 1 species
UUUCGGUAGGUGAACCUGCGGAAGGAUCAUUAUUGUAUAACCGAGGUGCGAGGGCUGUCGCUGACCCGAAAGGUCGUGCACGCCCGAGUACCCUCACACACAUCCAUCUCACCCCUAUGUGCACCACCGCGUGGGUCCCCCUUUGGCUUGUUCGGAGGGGGGCUUACGUUUUCACACAAACUUUGUAUGCAGUGUAGAAUGUAUUUUUUGUUUUUGCGAUCACGCAAUCAAUACAACUUUCAACAACGGAUCUCUUGGCUCUC